rnacentral:rRNA from 1 species
CUUUGUAGGAAAUGACAAAGCGAUGACGUUAAUUUAUGAAUAAGCCCCGGCUAAUUACGUGCCAGCAGCCGCGGUAAUACGUAAGGGGCGAGCGUUGUUCGGGAUCAUUGGGCGUAAAGGGUGAGUAGGCGGAUAUGCAAGUCUAUGUGUAAAAUACCACAGCUCAACUGUGGAACUAUGCUGGAAACUGCAUGACUAGAGUCUGAUAGGGGAAGUUAGAAUUCUUGGUGUAAGGGUGGAAUCUGUUGAUAUCAGGAAGAAUACCAGAGGCGAAGGCGAACUUCUAGGUCAAGACUGACGCUGAGUCACGAAAGCGUAGGGAGCAAACAGGAUUAGAUACCCUGGUAGUCUACGCUGUAAACGAUGCACACUUGGUGUUAAUCGAAAGGUUAGUACCGAAGCUAACGUGUUAAGUGUGCCGCCUGGGGAGUAUGUUCGCAAGAAUGAAACUCAAAGGAAUUGACGGGGGCCCGCACAAGCGGUGGAGCAUGUGGUUUAAUUCGAUGAUACGCGAGGAACCUUACCAGGGCCCGACAUAUACAGGAUAUAGUUAGAGAU